ensembl:lncRNA
GUUCUGGUUUUGAAUUCAGGCUGCAAGGCAAGGAUCCUACCAGUGAUUAUUAAUGUAUGAUGUUGGUAGAAUGUUGAAAUUGGGAUAGUAAGGAUCCUACCAGGGAUUAUUUAUGUAUUAUGUUGGUAGAAUGUUGAAGUUGGGAUAGUAGUAAGGAUCCUACCAGGGAUUAUUUAUGUAUGAUGUUGGUAGAAUGUUGAAGUUGGGAUAGUAGUAAAAGGCCGGUGUGUAAAUGACUAAGAUUCAAGCCUCCCAUGAAUUAGGGAGCUUUGUUUCAUUAUUGUGUGUUUAUCUGUAUGUUCCUUCCUGUAGUUGGCCAUCUGGGAGGAUUCUGUAUGGAGGAAUGGUCUAAGAUCACCCCAAUGUGUUCUCCGACUCAUAAAACAUUUAAGAAAAAGUCUUAGUGCUGUUAUCCAUGCAAGGUGGAGGCAGGUAGUCUAGUGGUUAGAGUGUAGGGGCGGCAGGUAGUCUAGUGGUUAGAGUGUAGGGGGCAGGUAGCCUAGUGGUUAGAGUGUAGGGGCGGCAGGUAGCCUAGUGGUUAGAGUGUAGGGGCGGCAGGUAGCCUAGUGGUUAGAGUGUAGGGGCGGCAGGUAGCCUAGUGGUUAGAGUGUAGGGGCGGCAGGUAGCCUAGUGGUUAGAGUGUAGGGGGCGGCAGGUAGCCUAGUGGUUAGAGUGUAGGGGCGGCAGGUAGCCUAGUGGUUAGAGUGUAGGGGCGGCAGGUAGCCUAGUGGUUAGAGUGUAGGGGCGGCAGGUAGCCUAGUGGUUAGAGUGUAGGGGCGGCAGGUAGCCUAGUGGUUAGAGUGUAGGGGCGGCAGGUAGCCUAGUGGUUAGAGCGUUGGGCCAGUAACCGAAAGGUUGCAAGAUCGAAUGCCUGAGCUGACAAGGAAAGAACCUGUCGUUCUGCCCCUGAACAAGGCAGUUAACCCACUGUUCCUAGACCAGUUAACCCCCUGUUCCUAGACCAGUUAACCCCCUGUUCCUAGACCAGUUAACCCACUGUCCUAGACCAGUUAACCCACUGUUCCUAGACCAGUUAACCCACUGUUCCUAGACCAGUUAAUCCACUGUUCCUAGACCAGUUAACCCCCUGUUCCUAGACCAGUUAACCCACUGUUCCUAGGCUGUCAUUAAAAAUAAGAAUUUGUUCUUAACUGACUUGCCUAGUUAAAUAAAUGGGGGGAAAAGAUGACCUUUUUGAGAAAAUAAUUAUUACUUUCUUAAACAAAAUCUCUUUCUCUGAGCAAUUGUUUUUGCUUAAAAUCAUUUAAUUUUCCCAUUUUGUUUGAGCAUGCAAUAUAUUUCAGUCUUUGAAUCAUGUAUUUUAUACAGUCAUUUUUGCUACUCUUUAUCAAGGGUGUCAAUAAUUUGGGACCCAACUGUAUACUUCAAAAU